rnacentral:lncRNA from 1 species
GAUCAAAGCCAAGGAACAUGCUGUUUUGAUGCUAGGGUGAGCAUGGUGCUCAGUCCCUGUUUGUUUGCAUGGUGUCCAGCUUUGUUUCUUCUCUGUCAUCACCACCUUCAGGCAAAUAGUUGACCAACCACUGGCCUGUGUCUGUCCACCCUCCAAAGCCCAGGCCACCUUUCUGUUUUCUGAAAUACUGAUCCUUCCUCCUGAAUACAUCCCUCCUUGUUCCUAGCUUCAAGACUGCUGCCUCAAACUAGGGAUAGAGCAAGUCCCCGCUGAUGAAGUUCACUGCAGGUUGUGCUAGAUGGGAUGGAGAAAUUAUCUUCAUUUGAUACAGAGCAAGUAGAUUGUCUCGAGAGAAAAGUUAGCAUGCGUGGUAUGAUUUGUAAGUAAAGAUGGAAGAGAGAGAGAGAGAGAGAGAGAGAGAGAGAGAGAGAGAGGUAGCCAUAUCUAACAGCCUACUUACCAAAGACCCCAGGCCUCUCUGCUUGGCAUGCCUCCUUUCUGUCCAUCCUCUGAACCCCAGAGAUUAGUGAGAUUUGAAUAAUUAAAUCAUUUUCAGAGUGAAGGGGGUUAAUGCAGGGUCUGUGCUAGGGGAGGGUUUUAGCUUUUGGUAACUGAAGAUUUUUUCAUGGAAAAAGUCUUCGUGUUCAAUGUGCCUAGAACUGAUAACUAAACAGCUGACAUUUGUCGGGGACAGAUAUGGUGUGAAACUAUGAAAAUAUAAGCAAAAUCUUCACUUGGAACAUGAAACUAUUUCACUUAGAAAAUAAUCGAAGGACCCGAGGUGUUGCCUGGGUUGCCAGUUUCUUUCGUGGCUGGGCAGGAACUAGUGAGGUUGAGGGGCAGUGUCUGUAAGUAGCUGCUAAGAGGUGCAUUUCCAGAUGAAGCCCUUGGGGAACAUCUGCCAGGGAUCCGCAUGGUGUUGGCUCCAUCCAUUGCUUUAGUUUCCUCCUUGGAUUGUGUAGAAACUUGGCUUCCCAUGGUUUUGAACCUUCCAUGCCUUCUUUGCUUUGUGGCCACCCAGCCUGCCUAGUGCUGCCUAGGAAGCUCUUACCCACCUGAUUUCUUCUGACAUUUCUUUCUUUGGCCUUUUUUUCUUUCUCCGGACAUGCAGCUAGUUGCCUGAGUGUAUCAAGAGCACCCAGGACUUGCUGCUGUCCAGGCCUGUUCCUCCCCCAGUAUCCGUGGGUGUGGAAGAGCUGUGUAGCUUCAGGAAGCAGAGCCAGGUGCCACCUUUCUGUGGCUUCCAGAUCCUCCCUACCUCCAACUCAUGUGCCUCUGUCACAGUGAUUUCAGGAAAGCUUGGUAGACCCUCUAGCAACAUCUCGGUUCAGAAAGUCUCUCUGGUUUGUGAGUUAACAGCUCAGCUAAGUGCUGUUUUGUCUCAGUGAGUUAACCACUGAAUGCGAGGGUUGGUUGUUGAUCUGUCUCGGUGUGUGUCGGAGUAGACAGCAUAUGCACUUCUCCCUGUGCGCUUUGCAAGGUAAUGUGGCUUUGGCUGAUCCAUGCAGGCAGGUAGUGGUACAGUGCUGCUGAAAGGAAGAAGUUCCCCAUUUUAUCUGUUAAAACACCAGAGACAUGGGCAAGUGCUAAUGGACCUCACUUCAGGAAGAGGGUCUGCUUCCUGAAGCCAGUGUGUGAUGAAAAGUGACUGAGACCUGAUAUCUAAGGUGAGACCUGAUACCUAACACUCUGUCACACAGUCCAGGGCCAACAGUGCUAUAGGAAAGUCUAGAAGAAAACAUCACAUCAGUAUUUUAGAACCAUCAACCAUCUCUUGUCCCUAUAGCCCAAUCCAGAGGCCUGGUUUUUAGAACUGGCUGUGUAAGGUGCCAAACACUCAGUUCACUUGUAGAAUCAGAGCCUUUUUUCCCCCCUAUGUUAAUUGAACACGCGCUCUGAGCUGUUUUGUUGAAGUAGAAAAUCUCAUAGAAAAAUCACUGUAGAUCUACUGACCUAUAGCCCUCUGGAAAUGCCUUUGAGAUGGUUUUACUUUUCUAGGUCAUAGAUGCCUGAUUUAUAAGAUGAACAAUAAAAUCAGCUUUCUUUCUUUCUCUUCUGAUCUUAUUCCCCAGAUCUGAUUCAGGCCAUGUUCCAAAGCAAGGCUACAUUGAGGUCCUGGUGUCUUUAAGUAAAGGACAUCUUUCAGAUCCUCUCAAAGAAGGAUUUAUAACAGUUUCCAGAUGAAUGUACUAAUAGCUUUGGGUGCCUUAUCUCUUUCCUAAUCUGUAGUGCCUGUGAGCUCAGUCUCACUCCUUCCCUUAGCCCGGAGACCCCUUAGAUCGAGUGGGAAUAGUCAAGAGGCUGGCUGGAGAGUCAUCAGUACAUUGGUUUGCAGAAAUCUUUUACAGGCUACAUUUUGGAAUUUUUUUUUUUUUAGUAAGUGAUCAAAUUUGGUGGGAAGUAAUUCGAGUGUAUUCGAUUGUAUUGUCGUCCUCGUUAUCAUUGUCAAACAUGUUAUAGACGGCAGUUGGCACUGGGGCUGCUAAUCUCUGGGUGUAGUCUCUGAAACUGUAGCUCCAGUGAGGUGGUGUGAAAGGUUAGCAAAGCCACCAUCUGCUGGUGGCUCCAGCCAAGGUGCCUCUUAGCCACUGAAUUGCUAUGUUAUCCUUUCUCUUGUAACAAACCCACCCCAGAGAUAAAGCCUUUAAUCAACCCAAGAAACUCCUGGGCUAAGUAUCUGACAGUCUCACAUCUCAACAGUGUGAAUUAAGUGUCCAUAGCAUCAGCUCAGGAGGACACUCUGGGAGAGUGCUGACAAAAAAGGGUUAUUAAUACUGACCUACUACUUCAAGGGCAGUUCUGAGGUGAUUAGAGCUUUUUUUAAAAACCAAGUAUUUGGGGAUCCUCAGCAGAGGUAUUCAUACAGACUCCCAAAGAACUAUAUAUGUUCCUGAGACCAUCGUUUAGUCUACAUUGCUCUUCCCAGAGACUGACAGAUAUGACCAGUCAAAGUGCAAGACUACCUACCCACUGCCAUGAAAACCAUUGCAGGAAACCUUUCCCUUCCCUGAAUGAGAUUUUUUUUUUCCCUUUUUAUGUGGGGUAAUUAUUUGUGACCCAAGUGUAAUUUGGAUGAUUUCCAUUAAUAUCAACUCUUGAAGCCUACUUGUACUGAUUGAGAUUGUAUUUGUUCCUAAUAAAAGUGGAUCUGGUUGUACUGUCU